GACCUAACCCUUAAUUUUUAGUUUAAGAUAUGGUCGAAAAUCCCAACGAAGAUACUGAACCCCGCGUUCAGCGACUCUUCGUUGGGUCAUAUCUCGAAAGGGGUAUGUGGCCGCAAGGCU
rnacentral:sRNA from 1 species